CUGGAAAAUGUCAACUGUUGUUUUCGUUCGCUUGGGGAAAAAAGAGAGGAGAAUAAAUGUGAGGAAUAACACAGCACCAUCUGUUUGGAGCUUAUGGCCAGAGAACACAUGGAUACAGGAAAAAACCACAGCAUAUGGGUUUGGAGCAACAUGGUGAGUUCAGAGAGUGGACACUCCGAUUCUGAGCCUCAAAGAGCAUCUUUCUGCAGAAUAGCUGAGAUGAAAGGAUGGCGGCAGAGGAGCGUCAGGACUGAGGG